rnacentral:rRNA from 1 species
UUUGGUUAAGUUAGAAAGGGCGCACGGUGGAUGCCUUGACACUAGGAGUCGAUGAAGGACGGGACUAACGCCCAAUAUGCCUUCGGGGAGCUGUAAGUAAGCUUUGAUCCGAAGAUUUCCGAAUGGGGAAACCCAUCAUACGUAAUGGUAUGGUAUCCUUAUCUGAAUACAUAGGGUAAGGAAGACAGACCCAGGGAACUGAAACAUCUAAGUACCUGGAGGAAGAGAAAGCAAAUGCGAUUUCCUGAGUAGCGGCGAGCGAAACGGAACAUAGCCCAAACCAAGAGGCUUGCCUCUUGGGGUUGUAGGACAUUCUAUACGGAGUUACAAAGGAACGAGGUAGACGAAGCGACCUGGAAAGGUCCGUCGUAGAGGGUAACAACCCCGUAGUCGAAACUUCGUUCUCUCUUGAAUGUAUCCUGAGUACGGCGGAACACGUGAAAUUCCGUCGGAAUCUGGGAGGACCAUCUCCCAAGGCUAAAUACUCCCUAGUGAUCGAUAGUGAACCAGUACCGUGAGGGAAAGGUGAAAAGCACCCCGGAAGGGGAGUGAAAGAGAUCCUGAAACCGUGUGCCUACAAAUAGUCAGAGCCCGUUAACGGGUGAUGGCGUGCCUUUUGUAGAAUGAACCGGCGAGUUACGAUCCCGUGCGAGGUUAAGCUGAAGAGGCGGAGCCGCAGCGAAAGCGAGUCUGAAUAGGGCGUUUAGUACGUGGUCGUAGACCCGAAACCAGGUGAUCUACCCAUGUCCAGGGUGAAGUUCAGGUAACACUGAAUGGAGGCCCGAACCCACGCACGUUGAAAAGUGCGGGGAUGAGGUGUGGGUAGCGGAGAAAUUCCAAUCGAACCUGGAGAUAGCUGGUUCUCCCCGAAAUAGCUUUAGGGCUAGCCUUAAGUGUAAGAGUCUUGGAGGUAGAGCACUGAUUGGACUAGGGGUCCUCAUCGGAUUACCGAAUUCAGUCAAACUCCGAAUGCCAAUGACUUAUCCUUAGGAGUCAGACUGCGAGUGAUAAGAUCCGUAGUCAAAAGGGAAACAGCCCAGACCGCCAGCUAAGGUCCCAAAGUGUGUAUUAAGUGGAAAAGGAUGUGGAGUUGCUUAGACAACUAGGAUGUUGGCUUAGAAGCAGCCACCAUUUAAAGAGUGCGUAAUAGCUCACUAGUCGAGUGACUCUGCGCCGAAAAUGUACCGGGGCUAAAUACACCACCGAAGCUGCGGAUUGAUACCGAAUGGUAUCAGUGGUAGGGGAGCGUUCUAAGGACAGUGAAGUCAGACCGUAAGGACUGGUGGAGUGCUUAGAAGUGAGAAUGCCGGUAUGAGUAGCGAAAGACGGGUGAGAAUCCCGUCCACCGAAUGCCUAAGGUUUCCUGAGGAAGGCUCGUCCGCUCAGGGUUAGUCAGGACCUAAGCCGAGGCCGACAGGCGUAGGCGAUGGACAACAGGUUGAUAUUCCUGUACCACCUCUUUAUCGUUUGAGCAAUGGAGGGACGCAGAAGGAUAGAAGAAGCGUGCGAUUGGUUGUGCACGUCCAAGCAGUUAGGCUGAUAAGUAGGCAAAUCCGCUUAUCGUGAAGGCUGAGCUGUGAUGGGGAAGCUCCUUAUGGAGCGAAGUCUUUGAUUCCCCGCUGCCAAGAAAAGCUUCUAGCGAGAUAAAAGGUGCCUGUACCGCAAACCGACACAGGUAGGCGAGGAGAGAAUCCUAAGGUGUGCGAGAGAACUCUGGUUAAGGAACUCGGCAAAAUGACCCCGUAACUUCGGGAGAAGGGGUGCUUUCUUAACGGAAAGCCGCAGUGAAUAGGCCCAAGCGACUGUUUAGCAAAAACACAGCUCUCUGCGAAGCCGUAAGGGCGAAGUAUAGGGGGUGACACCUGCCCGGUGCUGGAAGGUUAAGGAGAGGGGUUAGCGUAAGCGAAGCUCUGAACUGAAGCCCCAGUAAACGGCGGCCGUAACUAUAACGGUCCUAAGGUAGCGAAAUUCCUUGUCGGGUAAGUUCCGACCCGCACGAAAGGUGUAACGAUUUGGGCACUGUCUCAACCAGAGACUCGGUGAAAUUAUAGUACCUGUGAAGAUGCAGGUUACCCGCGACAGGACGGAAAGACCCCGUGGAGCUUUACUGUAGCCUGAUAUUGAAUUUUGGUACAGUUUGUACAGGAUAGGCGGGAGCCAUUGAAACCGGAGCGCUAGCUUCGGUGGAGGCGCUGGUGGGAUACCGCCCUGACUGUAUUGAAAUUCUAACCUACGGGUCUUAUCGACCCGGGAGACAGUGUCAGGUGGGCAGUUUGACUGGGGCGGUCGCCUCCUAAAGUGUAACGGAGGCGCCCAAAGGUUCCCUCAGAAUGGUUGGAAAUCAUUCGUAGAGUGCAAAGGCAUAAGGGAGCUUGACUGCGAGACCUACAAGUCGAGCAGGGACGAAAGUCGGGCUUAGUGAUCCGGUGGUUCCGCAUGGAAGGGCCAUCGCUCAACGGAUAAAAGCUACCCCGGGGAUAACAGGCUUAUCUCCCCCAAGAGUCCACAUCGACGGGGAGGUUUGGCACCUCGAUGUCGGCUCAUCGCAUCCUGGGGCUGUAGUCGGUCCCAAGGGUUGGGCUGUUCGCCCAUUAAAGCGGUACGCGAGCUGGGUUCAGAACGUCGUGAGACAGUUCGGUCCCUAUCCGUCGUGGGCGUAGGAAAUUUGAGAGGAGCUGUCCUUAGUACGAGAGGACCGGGAUGGACGCACCGCUGGUGUACCAGUUGUUCUGCCAAGGGCAUAGCUGGGUAGCUAUGUGCGGAAGGGAUAAGUGCUGAAAGCAUCUAAGCAUGAAGCCCCCCUCAAGAUGAGAUUUCCCAUAGCGUAAGCUAGUAAGAUCCCUGAAAGAUGAUCAGGUUGAUAGGUUCGAGGUGGAAGCAUGGUGACAUGUGGAGCUGACGAAUACUAAUAGAUCGAGGACUUAACCAUAUAA